UUCCGGUUGAUCCUGCCGGACCUGACUGCUAUCGGAUUGAUACUAAGCCAUGCGAGUCAUUGUAGCAAUACAAGGCAGACGGCUCAGUAACGCGUAGUCAACCUAACCUAUGGACGGGAAUAACCUCGGGAAACUGAGAAUAAUGCCCGAUAGAACACUAUAUCUGGAAUGGUUUGUGUUCCAGAUGAUUUAUCGCCGUAGGAUGGGACUGCGGCCUAUCAGUUUGUUGGUGAGGUAAUGGCCCACCAAGACUAUUACAGGUACGGGCUCUGAGAGGAGUAGCCCGGAGAUGGGUACUGAGACACGGACCCAGGCCCUAUGGGGCGCAGCAGGCGAGAAAACUUUGCAAUGUGCGAAAGCACGACAAGGUUAAUCCGAGUGGUUUGUGCUAAACGAACCUUUUGUCGGUCCUAGAAACACCGAUGAAUAAGGGGUGGGCAAGUUCUGGUGUCAGCCGCCGCGGUAAAACCAGCACCUCAAGUGGUCAGGAUGAUUAUUGGGCCUAAAGCAUCCGUAGCCGGCGCUGUAAGUUUUCGGCUAAAUCUGUACGCUCAACGUACAGGCUGCCGGGAAUACUGCAGCGCUAGGGAGUGGGAGAGGUAGACGGUACUCGGUAGGAAGGGGUAAAAUCCUUUGAUCUAUUGAUGACCACCUGUGGCGAAGGCGGUCUACCAGAACACGUCCGACGGUGAGGGAUGAAAGCUGGGGGAGCAAACCGGAUUAGAUACCCGGGUAGUCCCAGCUGUAAACUAUGCAAACUCAGUGAUGCAUUGGCUUGUGGCCAAUGCAGUGCUGCAGGGAAGCCGUUAAGUUUGCCGCCUGGGAAGUACGUACGCAAGUAUGAAACUUAAAGGAAUUGGCGGGGGAGCACCACAAGGGGUGAAGCCUGCGGUUCAAUUGGAUUCAACGCCGGGA
rnacentral:rRNA from 1 species